AAUGAUGCUGAUCUACAGGAGAAUCUGUCCAAGCUGAUGACCAACUUAAGAAGCACUCAUCCUCACUUUGUCCGUUGCCUGAUUCCCAAUGAGACAAAGACCCCAGGCCUUAUGGAGAACUUCCUGGUCAUCCACCAGCUGAGGUGUAACGGUGUACUGGAGGGCAUCAGAAUCUGCAGAAAGGGUUUCCCCAGCAGAAUCCUCUAUGGUGACUUCAAACAGAGAU